UACGUAGGGUGCGAGCGUUAAUCGGAAUUACUGGGCGUAAAGGGUGCGCAGGCGGUCCUGCAAGUCAGGCGUGAAAUCCCCGGGCUUAACCUGGGAAUGGCACUUGAAACUACGGGACUGGAGUAUGGCAGAGGGAGGUGGAAUUCCACGUGUAGCGGUGAAAUGCGUAGAGAUGUGGAGGAACACCGAUGGCGAAGGCAGCCUCCUGGGCCAAUACUGACGCUCAUGCACGAAAGCGUGGGUAGCAAACGGG
rnacentral:rRNA from 1 species